rnacentral:rRNA from 1 species
CCUACGGGUGGCAGCAGUGGGGAAUAUUGGACAAUGGGCGAAAGCCUGAUCCAGCCAUGCCGCGUGUGUGAAGAAGGCCUUCGGGUUGUAAAGCACUUUCAGUGGGGAAGAAAGCCUUGGGGCUAAUACCCUCGAGGAAGGACAUCACCCACAGAAGAAGCACCGGCUAACUCCGUGCCAGCAGCCGCGGUAAUACGGAGGGUGCGAGCGUUAAUCGGAAUUACUGGGCGUAAAGCGCGCGUAGGCGGUCUGAUAAGCCGGUUGUGAAAGCCCCGGGCUCAACCUGGGAACGGCAUCCGGAACUGUCAGGCUAGAGUGCAGGAGAGGAAGGUAGAAUUCCCGGUGUAGCGGUGAAAUGCGUAGAGAUCGGGAGGAAUACCAGUGGCGAAGGCGGCCUUCUGGACUGACACUGACGCUGAUGUGCGAAAGCGUGGGUAGCAAACAGGAUUAGAUACCCUAGUAGUC